UAGGGAAUCUUCCGCAAUGGACGAAAGUCUGACGGAGCAACGCCGCGUGAGUGAAGAAGGAUUUCGGUUCGUAAAACUCUGUUGCUAGGGAAGAAAAAAUGUAUAGUAACUAUAUACAAAAGAGACGGUACCUAACCAGAAAGCCACGGCUAACUACGUGCCAGCAGCCGCGGUAAUACGUAGGUGGCAAGCGUUGUCCGGAAUUAUUGGGCGUAAAGCGCGCGCAGGUGGUUUAGAAAGUCUGAUGUGAAAGCCCACGGCUCAACCGUGGAGGGUCAAUGGAAACUAAUAAACUUGAGUGCAGGAGAGAAAAGUGGAAUUCCUAGUGUAGCGGUGAAAUGCGUAGAGAUUAGGAGGAACACCGGUGGCGAAAGCGGCUUUUUGGCCUGCAACUGACACUGAGGCGCGAAAGCGUGGGGAGCAAACAGG
rnacentral:rRNA from 1 species